rnacentral:lncRNA from 1 species
CUAAACUAAAAUAAUUGGAGGGUUUUUCCUGGACUUUUAAUUUCAUAAUACAAAGUUCAGAGAAAUGGAAGCAUACACCUUUCUACACUGUAGUUGAUCAGUAAUUAGACUGAUGAAGACUGUAAUGUCUUUGUAGAGUGGUUUGGCAGUGACUGUGGAUAUUAAACAGGCGCUCCUGUGAGUUUUAGUACAUUUCUUAACUU